rnacentral:rRNA from 1 species
GACGAACGCUGGCGGCGUGCCUAAUACAUGCAAGUCGAGCGAACGGACGAGAAGCUUGCUUUCUUCAGGUUAGCGGCGGACGGGUGAGUAACACGUGGACAACCUACCUAUAAGACUGGGAUAACUUCUGGAAACCGGGGCUAAUACCGGAUAAUAUUUUGAACCGCAUUGUUCAAAAGUGAAAAACGGUCCUGUUCUCACUUAGAGCUGGAUCCGCGCUGUAUUUGCUAGUUGGUAAGGUAACGGCUUACCAAGGCAAGGAUGGACAGCCGACCGGCAAGGGUGAUCGCCCACACUGGAACUUGGCCACGCUCCAGACUCCUGCGGGAGGCACCAGUAGGGAAUCUUCGGCAAUGGGGGAAAGCCUGACGGAGCAACGCCGCGUGAGUGAUAAAGGUGUUGGGAUCGUAAAACUCUGUUAUUGGGUAAAAACAUAUGUGUACGUAAAUGUGCACAUCUUGACGGUACCUAAUCAGAAAGCCACGGCUAACUACGUG